rfam:Gossypium raimondii chromosome 7, whole genome shotgun sequence.
CACGUCAGCAUGCUUUGCUGAUGUGGCAACAAAUCGCCCCCUCGUGGACGCGAUUUGUUGCCACGUCAGCAAAGCGCGCUGACGUGG